CCAGCCAAGUAGCGUGAAGGAUGACUGCCCUAUGGGUUGUAAACUUCUUUUAUAAAGGAAUAAAGUCGGGUAUGUAUACCCGUUUGCAUGUACUUUAUGAAUAAGGAUCGGCUAACUCCGUGCCAGCAGCCGCGGUAAUACGGAGGAUCCGAGCGUUAUCCGGAUUUAUUGGGUUUAAAGGGAGCGUAGGCGGAUUGUUAAGUCAGUUGUGAAAGUUUGCGGCUCAACCGUAAAAUUGCAGUUGAUACUGGCUGUCUUGAGUACAGUAGAGGUGGGCGGAAUUCGUGGUGUAGCGGUGAAAUGCUUAGAUAUCACGAAGAACUCCGAUUGCGAAGGCAGCCUGCUAAGCUGCAACUGACAUUGAGGCUCGAAAGUGUGGGUAUCAAACAGGAUUAGAUACCCUGGUAGUCCACACAGUAAACGAUGAAUACUCGCUGUUUGCGAUAUACAGUAAGCGGCCAAGCGAAAGCGUUAAGUAUUCCACCUGGGGAGUACGCCGGCAACGGUGAAACUCAAAGGAAUUGACGGGGGCCCGCACAAGCGGAGGAACAUGUGGUUUAAUUCGAUGAUACGCGAGGAACCUUACCCGGGCUUGAAUUGCAACUGAAUGAUGUGGAGACAUGUCAGCCGCAAGGCAGUUGUGAAGGUGCUGCAUGGUUGUCGUCAGCUCGUGCCGUGAGGUGUCGGCUUAAGUGCCAUAACGAGCGCAACCCUUAUCUUUAGUUACUAACAGGUCAUGCUGAGGACUCUAGAGAGACUGCCGUCGUAAGAUGUGAGGAAGGUGGGGAUGACGUCAAAUCAGCACGGCCCUUACGUCCGGGGCUACACACGUGUUACAAUGGGGGGUACAGAAGGCAGCUACACGGCGACGUGAUGCUAAUCCCAAAAACCUCUCUCAGUUCGGAUCGAAGUCUGCAACCCGACUUCGUGAAGCUGGAUUCGCUAGUAAUCGCGCAUCAGCCAUGGCGCGGUGAAUACGUUCCCGGGCCUUGUACACACCGCCCGUCAAGCCAUGGGAGCCGGGGGUACCUGAAGUGCGUAACCGCGAGGAGCGCCCUAGGGUAAAACUGGUGACUGGGGCUAAGUCGUAACAAGGUAGCCGUACCGGAAGGUGCGGCUG
rnacentral:rRNA from 1 species